rnacentral:rRNA from 1 species
UAAUACGGAGGGUGCAAGCGUUAUCCGGAUUUACUGGGUUUAAAGGGUGUGUAGGCGGGUUUUUAAGUCAGUUGUGAAAUCCCCGAGCUUAACUUGGGAACUGCGAUUGAUACUGGGAAUCUUGAAUACGGUUGAGGUGGAUAGAAUGUAACGUGUAGCGGUGAAAUGCAUAGAUAUGUUACAGAAUACCGAUUGCGAAGGCAAUUCACUAAGCCGUGAUUGACGCUGAGACACGAAAGCGUGGGGAUCAAACAGG